rnacentral:rRNA from 1 species
UGGCGAACGGGUGGGUAACGCGUGAGGAACCUGCCUCAAAGAGGGGGACAACAGUUGGAAACGACUGCUAAUACCGCAUAAGCCCACGGGUCGGCAUCGACUUGAGGGAAAAGGAGCAAUCCGCUUUGAGAUGGCCUCGCGUCCGAUUAGCUAGUUGGUGAGGUAACGGCCCACCAAGGCGACGAUCGGUAGCCGGACUGAGAGGUUGAACGGCCACAUUGGGACUGAGACACGGCCCAG